rnacentral:misc_RNA from 1 species
UAAUACGUGUUUUAUGGCACUUUUUAAAUCCAUAUCCACCUUGUGUGCAAUGUCGGUCGAUCUUCUUCAUGGAGAUCGACCAAACAUCAACCUUUAUCUUUUAACUCUUUGUCUGAAAAAUAUUAUGAAUAAACAAUUCAAAUA